AAGUCGAACGAGUUCUCGUUGAUGAUCGGUGCUUGCACCGAGAUUCAACAUAGAACGAGUGGCGGACGGGUGAGUAACACGUGGGUAACCUGCCCUUAAGUGGGGGAUAACAUUUGGAAACAGAUGCUAAUACCGCAUAGAUCCAAGAACCGCAUGGUUCUUGGCUGAAAGAUGGCGUAAGCUAUCGCUUUUGGAUGGACCCGCGGCGUAUUAGCUAGUUGGUGAGGUAAUGGCUCACCAAGGCGAUGAUACGUAGCCGAACUGAGAGGUUGAUCGGCCACAUUGGGACUGAGACACGGCCCAAACUCCUACGGGAGGCAGCAGUAGGGAAUCUUCCACAAUGGACGCAAGUCUGAUGGAGCAACGCCGCGUGAGUGAAGAAGGCUUUCGGGUCGUAAAACUCUGUUGUUGGAGAAGAAUGGUCGGCAGAGUAACUGUUGUCGGCGUGACGGUAUCCAACCAGAAAGCCACGGCUAACUACGUGCCAGCAACCGCGGUAAUACGUAGGUGGCAAGCGUUAUCCGGAUUUAUUGGGCGUAAAGCGAGCGCAGGCGGUUUUUUAAGUCUGAUGUGAAAGCCCUCGGCUUAACCGAGGAAGCGCAUCGGAAACUGGGAAACUUGAGUGCAGAAGAGGACAGUGGAACUCCAUGUGUAGCGGUGAAAUGCGUAGAUAUAUGGAAGAACACCAGUGGCGAAGGCGGCUGUCUGGUCUGUAACUGACGCUGAGGCUCGAAAGCAUGGGUAGCGAACAGGAUUAGAUACCCUGGUAGUCCAUGCC
rnacentral:rRNA from 1 species